rfam:Puccinia triticina 1-1 BBBD Race 1 supercont2.72, whole genome shotgun sequence.
GGUCGAUUAGCUUAGUCGGUAGAGCGUGGUACUAAUACCCAGUAGGCUCACAGGGUCCGCUGCAAUGUCAUGCCAAGGUCGUGGGUUCGAUCCCCACAUUGACCA